rnacentral:rRNA from 1 species
UACGUAGGGUGCGAGCGUUGUCCGGAAUUAUUGGGCGUAAAGAGCUUGUAGGCGGUUUGUCGCGUCUGCCGUGAAAAUUCGAGGCUCAACCUCGAACUUGCGGUGGGUACGGGCAGACUAGGAGUGUGUAGGGGAGACUGGAAUUCCUGGUGUAGCGGUGAAAUGCGCAGAUAUCAGGAGGAACACCGGUGGCGAAGGCGGCUUGCUGGGCCAGUUCUGACGCUGAGGAGCGAAAGCGUGGGGAGCGAACAGG